rnacentral:lncRNA from 1 species
GGAGGUUCAUGCAGACCUUUGUCCUUGCGCCUGAGGGCUCUGUUGCCAACAAAUUCUAUGUUCACAAUGACAUCUUCAGAUACCAAGAUGAGGUCUUCGGUGGCUUUGUCACAGAGCCUCAAGAGGAAUCUGAGGAAGAAGUAGAGGAACCUGAAGAAAGACAGCAGUCACCAGAGGUGGUUGCUGAUGACUCUGGAACUUUCUAUGAUCAGACUGUUAGGUAAGGGAACUUCCCUUCACUUGCUCAGGCUUGCAGUAAGAACUUGGAUUGUGCUGGAGACAGACCUGUCUUCUAGGCAUGAGUUCCAGGAGGUGAGCGGAGUCUGGGUGUCCGUGUCAGUGACAGACAGAUUGGUAAGUGUUCACCGAGUCUCGGGUUUGACCUUCAGCAGUGAGUCAGAUGUGGACACAUUCCUGUUCCCAGUGUUCUAGAGGCUGAACACAGCCUCCAUGAGCUCAGCAACAAAACAAUAGUAAGUUUUUAGGAAAAGAUGUUAACUGUGUUAUUUCUGAAUAACUAGCAAUAUGCAACUUUAUUUUAUAGGAUGUACUGUGGAAACUGAUGAAUGUAUAUGGUUCAGGUUGCUAAUUGUUUUGAAGACAAGUGCUCACCACUUAGCUGAGGCUAAGCCUAGAACAUCUGUUUGAGCAUUCAAGAUGCUGAGAUUGUGGGCUCCCACACAUGUAUCAGAAGAGCUCAUUUAACUAGAGUAAUAAGAUUUCAAACCCGGCUGGAGAGAUGGCUCAGCGGUUAAGAGCACUGACUGCUCUUCCAGAGGUCCUGAGUUCAAGUCCCAGCAACCACAUGGUGGCUCACCACCAUCUGUAAUGGGAUCUGAUGCCUUCUGGUGUAUCUGAAGACAGCUACAGUGUACUCACAUAAAAAAAAAUAAACAAAUCUUUAAAAAAAAGAUU